rnacentral:lncRNA from 1 species
UUAACGUCAUUUAAAAAUCCUAUAUGACAGUAAUCCAAAAGUUAUUAAUUUUAUUACAAACGAAUUAAGCCACGUAUAUAUUUUUAUUGAUUUUAAAAUAUUCAUUAACCUGUAUAAGAAAUGCUUGCUAGUGGGCAGAUUUUAAGAAAUGUACCGAAUUGGUGGAAUCAUUACGCUCCAAACCUCAGACAAAAAGAUCCUAAAAGAAAACUUCAGAUAUUAGUUAAUAUAAAAAUAUUCUUUAUGGUAAUUACCAUGCUUGGCGGUGCUAUUUUGGCACUACUUAUUAAUGUGAUUGGAAACACUGGUAAACACGGAUACGUUAUUUUAACCUGCAGAAAUAUGAAAAAACAGCCUGGACAAAUACCUACGCAUAAAGCAGACAUUACCGAAAACAAAACAUCUCCACAAAAACCAUCACUACCGAGUCAAUCAAUACCAGAACAAAAAUCAACAAGUGGUGCUGCCUUAAACGAGAGUUUAGCAAAAACAACUUCAAUUAGAAGAAAACGUAAUUUCAGGAUACCUUACAAAAAUCAAUUAAAUAGUAUGAACGAUACCGGUCAUCUCAAGUAUGGAGAUUAUAUUUUAAAACUGGCACAUCACUUUAAAAGUGAAGGCUCUUCUAAUAACACUACAAGAGUGUUGCCAAAUUAUUUCGUGCCCAAUGUUAGUGUUUCUGGUCAGCCAUCUAAUAAUUUCAGUAAUUUAGUGAAUUAAUUUUAUAUUUUAGUUUUUUGAUUGCAGUAUGCCUUAUUUUAUGCUGUUUUUCAAUUAGUAAAUAUAACAAUUUUAUUAAAAUAGACCACCGAAAAUAUGUAUACGGGUGUAGGAUUAAAAUUAUUUUAUACAAUCCUUAUUAUCCUAGCCCUAAAUGAAUUUAGGUUCCUUAAAAGAAAAAAAAAUUGUAGCACUAUACUUGUAUAUUUAUAGUGCGAACAUUUUAAACCAAAAACGUUUUGACGUUAAACCAAUCAGCACGUGGUUGCCGAUAGUAGUUUAACGGGUUAAACCUAUUCACACCAGUAACCGGACCGGAUAAUGCCGGAUGCAUCGUGUGAGAGGCGACAUCGUGCAAUAAAAAUACUAAAUAUUAGUUAUAAUAAUAAUAAUGUGCUCUAUUAGGAAAGAUAGGUAUAAAUCUAGUGUACAAACAAUAUUAUAACUACAAAGAUUUACAAACUAUUCUCAAAAAUAAUACAAAAUACAUAAAUAACCAUACAAUUGCAACACAAAACUAUACUUCAAAAAGAACAGGAUCACGGAGCACACAUAAAUAACAUAGCUUAUACUUAAUUUAUGGAGCAAUUGACAAGGUCAAAUGUUGUCAUUCAGAUAUUCCUCAAUACUGUAAUAGGCAGUAGUAUUUUUUUUUAGUCUUCAUUUAAAUAAUUUCAGAUUAAGAAUGUUUCUUAUGGAAAGAGGAACAUGGCUAUAGAUUUUUCGACUCGAAAAUCAAUGUAAGAGAAAUAGUGAGUAUGGGGAGAGCAAAGUCAUUCAACUGACGGGUAAUAUGUGGGAUUUUUCGAGAAGACCUAACACACUUGUGUCAAUCAAUAGUGUCAGAAUCCUUUUUAAAAUAAAUAGAGGUCUACAUAGAACGCUUAAGUCAGAAGAACAGAUAUGCCUAAUGGUCUUCUUUUGUAAUAAAAAUAUUACAUUUAAUAGACCCUUGCCAGUCAAACUCCAGCAAACCAUAUCUGAUAUGUGACUCUAUCAAAGCAAAGAACACCGAACAGACAACAUCCUUUCCAAGCUCGUGUUUUACAACCCUGAGAGCAAAGCAGCCGGAAGACGACCAGAAUGCUAGAUUCAAAAUAUGAUCCUUAAAUUUCUUUUAAUAGUAAUAUCCGAGAACCACAACUCCCUUUAUUAUGGAGAGCUGUCUGCUUAUCAAACGUAAGAUUUCUCACGUAACACUUAAACCCAAAACGAAAGAUUUUUUAGCAUUAAACGCAAGUCUGUUCGAAGCACACCAUUCUCUAAUCAUUGCAAGAUCCUUGACAACACUGAUCUUUGUAGGACAUGAGAUUUAAGAGUCCUUCAUCCAGACAGAGGCCCACUAACUAUAACUUUCUGAGUGCGAUAAAUCUGAUAAAACCUGAUCCACUGCAGAGCCUCCUAAAUCCGUAUCUGGCAAAAAAAAUAUUUAAAGUUUAAUAAGAUUGAAAAAGGAUUAUUCAGUAUGGGAAAUAGGUUACAUACCCAACGAUUUUUCUAACCACCAACUUGUCUGGCUGAGUUCUCAAUUUUUAGAAAUCAUGUUUGCAAAUUAUUACUACUUAUAGAUACUAAUUCUUCUGCAUGUAUCAUUAAGAGAGAUAAUAAAAAUAGUUACAAUGGUAUUUAGAAAUGUAUGCUUACAUAAACAUUAAAAGCGAAUCCUUGGACUUUUGUCGACAUUUAUAUCUGUUGUGUCCAAUAUAGUUUGUUUAGCUAAAACACAUUUUCAUGAUUAUUUAAAUUAGCGUGCUAUCUAUCGCAAAUAGUCUAGUAUAUAUUUGAUCCUAAAAAUUAUCUAGUUUGUUAAUAAUUAAUUAGUUUUUAAUUACGCUAAUUUAUAUGUAAUAAAGAGCGUCAGCAUUUUUA